GGUAGCAUGCCAGAGUGGAAAUGGGUAGGACUUGAAUAACUCGAGGAAUCCUAUGGCUUCGGCCUCGCAGGUUCGAACCCUGCUGCUAUCG
rnacentral:tRNA from 1 species